AAUUAAUAUGAAAUUGAAAAUAAAAUUAAAAAUGAAAUUGAUAUUGAUAUUGAAAUUGAUAUUGAAAUUGAAAUUGAAUUUGAAGUUUAAUAAUUAAUGUAAAACAAAAAUUAACUUCGACAAUCACUAAUUUAACUUCUUUUUUUCUUUUUUUUAGUUCCGACCACCUUUCGUAACGCCUCUUUCGUGAAUAUUAUCGAUCUUCCUCUGCGCGGUUGUGAAGUGGUGUGCUCCUCUUGUGGCGUAGUUUGUAGAGGCGUCGUUGUUUCUUGUACAAACACUAAAUUAAAAUGAAUUAAACCUAAAUAACAUAAAUCAUGUACACUUAAUUAUUCAAUAACACUUCAAUAACAUAAAUCAUGUACACUAAAUAACAUAAAUCAUUCAUUAUUCAAUAACACUCAAUAAUAACAAAUAUCAAUAACACAUACAUAAAUAACAAUACACUUAAAAUAAAAUUCAGUAAGAUUGACUGGAAAUCUAUUUUAUUUUAAAUCAUACACACAUGACACAUGAUAAUUAAAUAAAAAUCAUUAAGCUGGACUGACUAAAUGUUAUUUUAAACAAGUUGGUUGGGGAUUUAGAUAACACAAUGAAUGUUUUAUUAUUUAUCAUUAUUGAUUUAUUUUAUUUAUUAUGUUUGUGUCAGCAGGACAUGUUUUAUUCCAGCAAACAUGUUUUAUUCCAGCAAACAUGUUUUAUUAUGUCUGUGUAUAUAUUCCAGCAAACAUGUAUAUAUUCCAACAAAUGUUUGAAUAUCAACAUUGAUUGAAAUUGGGUUGAUUAGGUGGAGCCCAAUUAAUUCUACCAGAAUCGGGUCUGGUAUCAAUGUUAAAAAACAUUUUUAGGUAGAAGUUUGGUAAGCUUGUAUCUAAUCAUUUUUAUCCUUCAUCAACUUGAUAUAUAUUCAUUCCAUGAGUUAAAUUCAAAAUAGAUGAAGUAAUUAAUCAUUGACUAUUAUUUGUCAACCCUUAACUCUGACUGACAUCUACAUCUAUACACAUUAAUCUAGUCAGUCACUUAAUUAAUUUAUAUUAAAUAACCAAUAUACUAUAUUGAAUUUAGUCAGUCCACUUCCAUUUUUUUUUUAAACAUCCAACUUGUUUAAAAUAACAUUUUUUUUUAAUCUACCUAUUUCAUUAAACAUCCAACUACCUAUUUCAUUAAGCAAACCAUUUAAAAUAACAUUUUUUUUUAAUCUACCUAUUUCAUUAAACAUCCAACUACCUAUUUCAUUAAGCAAACCAUUUAAAAUAACAUUUUUUUAGCUAUAUUCCAACCUUCCCGAUUUUGUUCAUACCAAACAAAAUCAAAGCAAAACCACAAACCCAAAUCCGAAAAAUCCCACCCUGUUCCGUAGAAAAAUAAACCUGCAAUCCAACAGUACGAUUUCCACUUCCUAUAUCAACUCGUUCAUCCCUAUAUAGUCCUAUGAUCCUAUCCAUUGCAUUCUAGUCUAUAUUUUUUAUAUUUUAGAACUUUUCAGAUUGAGAGCAAUUAUCCUAGGAAAAUGGCUUGCUGGGAUUGCAUUGGUUAUAAGCUACUACUGGAGAUGGCAAUAUGCUAUAUCUGAAAAGAGAUAUCAGAAAUGUGAUAGGAAUAUAGUAUCCUUGUAAAAAAUAAGAAGUUCUGGUCUCUGGUCUCUGAUCUGUGAUAGCAUUAUCAGACAUUCUGGUAUUGUUUUUCAGCAAGGAAGAUUCAAGAAGAACAUGAGUUACAUAGAGAAAUUAUAAAUUAGCUAGAUGAUUGCUCGUACAAGGAUGGACAACUGCACAUAGUUUCGAACAGAAAUGGCGAAGCUAACCUAAUUGGAAGUAAAAAAAACUAUAUCAAGUAAUUUUAAUUCUACAACUGUGAUUCAACAAACACUACAGAAAAAGAAAGAUUACAAACAAAGAACAAUAAUAACUUUCACAAAUAAUAAAUCCCAAAAUCAAAAAACCCCAAAUCAUAACCCCCAAAUCAUAAACAACAACAAAAAUGAGAGAAAAAGAUGAAGAUAACACAAUAACAAAAGAAGAUAACUAGGAUGAAGAACAUACCUUUAGGAAGAACUUCGAAGAUCACCGGAGAUAAAUGGCUGGAAGAUCACUGGAGACAAGUUGGGGGAGGGUUUGGGAGUAGUGGAGACGUUUUUGGGGGAAAAGAAAAUGAAAGAAAUCUGGAAUUUUUUUUCUUAUAUAAAAAUUUUCCGGCGGCCUGGCCGCCGGGAAAUACUUAAGUUUCGUUUGACUUAGUUUGACUGUACGGG
rnacentral:lncRNA from 1 species